CCUACGGGGGGCUGCAGUGAGGAAUAUUGGUCAAUGGGCGCGAGCCUGAACCAGCCAAGCCGCGUGAAGGAUGACUGCCCUAGGGGUGGUAAACUUCUUUUAUAAAGGAAUAAAGUGAGGCACGUGUGCCUUUUUGAAUGUACUCUAAGAAUAAGGAUCGGCUAACUCCGUGCCAGCAGCCGCGGUAAUACGGAGGAUCCGAGCGUUAUCCGGAUUUAUUGGGUUUAAAGGGAGCGUAGAGGGGUUGUUAAGUCAGUUGUGAAAGUUUGGGGCUCAACCGAAAGAUUGCAUUUGAUACUGGCAGUCUUGAGUACAGUAGAGGUAGGCGGAAUUCGUGGUGUAGCGGUGAAAUGCUUAGAUAUCAUGAAGAACUCCGAUGGCGAAGGCAGCUUACUAGACUGCCACUGACGUUGAUGCUCGAAAGUGUGGGUAUCAAACAGGAUUAGAUACCCCUGUAGUC
rnacentral:rRNA from 1 species